AUCUACCGCCAUACCACCCUGAAUGUGCCCGAUCUAGUCUGAUCUUGGAAGUUAAGCAGGGUUGGGCCUGGUUAGUACUUGGAUGGGAUAUU
rnacentral:rRNA from 1 species